rnacentral:rRNA from 1 species
AUUGAACGCUGGCGGUAUGCUUAACACAUGCAAGUCGAACGGUAGCAGGCCUUCGGGCGCUGACGAGUGGCGGACGGGUGAGUAACGCGUAGGAAUCUGCCUCAUAGUGGGGGACAACGUGUGGAAACGCACGCUAAUACCGCAUACGCCCUACGGGGGAAAGCGGGGGACCUUUGGGCCUCGCGCUAUGAGAGGCGCCUGCGUUAGAUUAGCUAGUUGGUGGGGGAAAGGCCUACCAAGGCGACGAUCUAUAGCUGGUCUGAGAGGACGAUCAGCCACACUGGGACUGAGACACGGCCCAGACUCCUACGGGAGGCAGCAGUGGGGAAUAUUGGACAAUGGGCGCAAGCCUGAUCCAGCAAUACCGCGUGUGUGAAGAAGGCCCUAGGGUUGUAAAGCACUUUCAAUAGGGAGGAAAACCUGCCGGUCAAUACCCGGUAGCUUGACAUUACCUAUACAAGAAGCACCGGCUAACUCCGUGCCAGCCGCCGCAGUAAGAC